UACGAAGGGGGCGAGCGUUGUUCGGAUUUACUGGGCGUAAAGGGCGCGUAGGCGGCUUUAUAAGUCGGGGGGUGAAAGCCUGUGGCUCAACCACAGAAUUGCCUUCGAUACUGUAGAGCUUGAGUUCGGGGAGAGGUGAGUGGAACUGCGAGUGUAGAGGUGAAAUUCGUAGAUAUUCGCAAGAACACCAGUGGCGAAGGCGGCUCACUGGCCCGAUACUGACGCUGAGGCACGAAAGCGUGGGGAGCAAACAGG
rnacentral:rRNA from 1 species